UCUUAUGUAGAGAGGUGGAGGGACUGGCCCAUUGAAACCUCAGCAACCAUUCUUUUUAAAGAAAAGGUGCUAAUUCCAGCAAAGCCAUUCAUGGCUUUGAAAAAUAAGA
rnacentral:ncRNA from 1 species